UACGAAGGUCCCAAGCGUUAUCCGGAUUUAUUGGGUUUAAAGGGCGCGUAGGCGGCCUGCUAAGUCGAACGUGAAAUCCCUCGGCUCAACCGGGGAACUGCGUCUGAUACUGGGUGGCUUGAAUCCGGGAGAGGGAUGCGGAAUUCCAGGUGUAGCGGUGAAAUGCGUAGAUAUCUGGAGGAACACCGGUGGCGAAGGCGGCAUCCUGGACCGGCAUUGACGCUGAGGCGCGAAAGCCAGGGGAGCAAACGGG
rnacentral:rRNA from 1 species